AGUGAACGCUGGCGGUAGGCCUAACACAUGCAAGUCGAACGGCAGCACAGGAGAGCUUGCUCUCUGGGUGGCGAGUGGCGGACGGGUGAGGAAUACAUCGGAAUCUGCCCAGUCGUGGGGGAUAACGUAGGGAAACUUACGCUAAUACCGCAUACGACCUUCGGGUGAAAGAGGGGGAUCGCAAGACCUCUCGCGAUUGGAUGAGCCGAUGUCGGAUUAGCUAGUAGGCGGGGUAAUGGCCCACCAAGGCGACGAUCCGUAGCUGGUCUGAGAGGAUGAUCAGCCACACUGGAACUGAGACACGGUCCAGACUCCUACGGGAGGCAGCAGUGGGGAAUAUUGGACAAUGGGCGCAAGCCUGAUCCAGCCAUACCGCGUGGGUGAAGAAGGCCUUCGGGUUGUAAAGCCCUUUUGUUGAGAAAGAAAUCUUUCAGGCUAAUACCCUGGGAGGAUGACGGUACCCAAAGAAUAAGCACCGGCUAACUUCGUG
rnacentral:rRNA from 1 species